rnacentral:lncRNA from 1 species
UCUUGUUGCCUAUGUUUUGGUAGGAUCCUAUGAUGAAUUGGUUUAUUAUUUUAUAUGGUGUUUUUGUCCAAAUCUUUAGCACGUGAUCGUUUGAGUCCUAUGCAACCCUUCAUAGAAGGUGGGUGGAUUUUGCUUGCCGUGAUGCUCGGGUGGACCCUUAUCAAUAAAAUUUUAUUUAUCAAAAAAGAGAAUGAAAGUUGUUGUGG